UGAACGCUAGCUACAGGCUCAACACAUGCAAGUCGAGGGGCAGCAUGGUCUUAGCUUGCUAAGGCCGAUGGCGACCGGCGCACGGGUGAGUAACACGUAUCCAACCUGCCGUCUACUCUUGGACAGCCUUCUGAAAGGAAGAUUAAUACAAGAUGGCAUCAUGAGUCCGCAUGUUCACAUGAUUAAAGGUAUUCCGGUAGACGAUGGGGAUGCGUUCCAUUAGAUAGUAGGCGGGGUAACGGCCCACCUAGUCUUCGAUGGAUAGGGGUUCUGAGAGGAAGGUCCCCCACAUUGGAACUGAGACACGGUCCAAACUCCUACGGGAGGCAGCAGUGAGGAAUAUUGGUCAAUGGGCGAGAGCCUGAACCAGCCAAGUAGCGUGAAGGAUGACUGCCCUAUGGGUUGUAAACUUCUUUUAUAAAGGAAUAAAGUCGGGUAUGGAUACCCGUUUGCAUGUACUUUAUGAAUAAGGAUCGGCUAACUCCGUGCCAGCAGCCGCGGUAAUACGGAGGAUCCGAGCGUUAUCCGGAUUUAUUGGGUUUAAAGGGAGCGUAGAUGGAUGUUUAAGUCAGUUGUGAAAGUUUGCGGCUCAACCGUAAAAUUGCAGUUGAUACUGGAUAUCUUGAGUGCAGUUGAGGCAGGCGGAAUUCGUGGUGUAGCGGUGAAAUGCUUAGAUAUCACGAAGAACUCCGAUUGCGAAGGCAGCCUGCUAAGCUGCAACUGACAUUGAGGCUCGAAAGUGUGGGUAUCAAACAGGAUUAGAUACCCUGGUAGUCCACACGGUAAACGAUGAAUACUCGCUGUUUGCGAUAUACUGCAAGCGGCCAAGCGAAAGCGUUAAGUAUUCCACCUGGGGAGUACGCCGGCAACGGUGAAACUCAAAGGAAUUGACGGGGGCCCGCACAAGCGGAGGAACAUGUGGUUUAAUUCGAUGAUACGCGAGGAACCUUACCCGGGCUUAAAUUGCAGAUGAAUUACGGUGAAAGCCGUAAGCCGCAAGGCAUCUGUGAAGGUGCUGCAUGGUUGUCGUCAGCUCGUGCCGUGAGGUGUCGGCUUAAGUGCCAUAACGAGCGCAACCCUUGUUGUCAGUUACUAACAGGUUCCGCUGAGGACUCUGACAAGACUGCCAUCGUAAGAUGUGAGGAAGGUGGGGAUGACGUCAAAUCAGCACGGCCCUUACGUCCGGGGCUACACACGUGUUACAAUGGGGGGUACAGAGGGCCGCUACCACGCGAGUGGAUGCCAAUCCCCAAAACCUCUCUCAGUUCGGACUGGAGUCUGCAACCCGACUCCACGAAGCUGGAUUCGCUAGUAAUCGCGCAUCAGCCACGGCGCGGUGAAUACGUUCCCGGGCCUUGUACACACCGCCCGUCAAGCCAUGGGAGCCGGGGGUACCUGAAGUGCGUAACCGCGAGGAGCGCCCUAGGGUAAAACUGGUGACUGGGGCUAAG
rnacentral:rRNA from 1 species